rnacentral:rRNA from 1 species
ACAUGCAGUCGAGCGAACAGAUAAGGAGCUUGCUCCUUUGACGUUAGCGGCGGACGGGUGAGUAACACGUGGGUAACCUACCUAUAAGACUGGAAUAACUCCGGGAAACCGGGGCUAAUGCCGGAUAACAUUUAGAACCGCAUGGUUCUAAAGUGAAAGAUGGUUUUGCUAUCACUUAUAGAUGGACCCGCGCCGUAUUAGCUAGUUGGUAAGGUAACGGCUUACCAAGGCAACGAUACGUAGCCGACCUGAGAGGGUGAUCGGCCACACUGGAACUGAGACACGGUCCAGACUCCUACGGGAGGCAGCAGUAGGGAAUCUUCCGCAAUGGGCGAAAGCCUGACGGAGCAACGCCGCGUGAGUGAUGAAGGUCUUCGGAUCGUAAAACUCUGUUAUUAGGGAAGAACAAAUGUGUAAGUAACUGUGCACGUCUUGACGGUACCUAAUCAGAAAGCCACGGCUAACUACGUGCCAGCAGCCGCGGUAAUACGUAGGUGGCAAGCGUUAUCCGGAAUUAUUGGGCGUAAAGCGCGCGUAGGCGGUUUCUUAAGUCUGAUGUGAAAGCCCACGGCUCAACCGUGGAGGGUCAUUGGAAACUGGGAAACUUGAGUGCAG